rnacentral:rRNA from 1 species
GACGAACGCUGGCGGCGUGCCUAACACAUGCAAGUCGAACGGAAAGGCCCUGCUUUUGUGGGGUGCUCGAGUGGCGAAAGGGUGAGUAACACGUGAGUAACCUGCCCUUGAUUUUGGGAUAACUUCAGGAAACUGGGGCUAAUACCCGAUAGGAGCCCCUGCUGCAUUGUGGGGGUUGGAAAGUUUCGGCGGUUGGGGAUGGACUCGCGGCUUAUCAGCUUGUUGGUGGGGUAGUGGCUUACCAAGGCUUUGACGGGUAGCCGGCCUGAGAGGGUGACCGGCCACAUUGGGACUGAGAUACGGCCCAGACUCCUACGGGAGGCAGCAGUGGGGAAUAUUGCACAAUGGGCGGAAGCCUGAUGCAGCAACGCCGCGUGCGGGAUGACGGCCUUCGGGUUGUAAACCGCUUUCGCCUGUGACGAAGCGUGAGUGACGGUAAUGGGUAAAGAAGCACCGGCUAACUACGUG